rnacentral:rRNA from 1 species
AUGGCGUUGCACUGGAGCAGCGGCCUCGCGGUCGCCGUCGCGGCGGCGCUGGCCGUGUCCGCGCUCUUCCCGGCGGGCGCUGCGGGUCACCCGCCGCUCCCAGGCCCGUUGGUCCCGCAGUUCUACGAGCACACGUGCCCGCAGAUGCAGGCGUUGGUGGGCGCCAUCGUGGCCAAGGAGCACGCCAAGGAUCCCCGCAUGGCGGCGUCCCUGCUCCGGCUGCACUUCCACGACUGCUUCGUGCAGGGCUGCGACGCGUCGGUGCUGCUCGACGCCGACGGCAGCGGCAGGUUCACCACCGAGAAGCGGUCCAACCCGAACCGCGACUCGCUGAGGGGCUACGAGGUCAUCGACGAGAUCAAGGCCGCCCUCGAGCACGCCUGCCCCCACACCGUCUCCUGCGCCGACAUCGCCGCCGUCGCCGCCAGGGACUCCACCGUGCUGACGGGUGGGCCGGGCUGGGAGGUGCCGCUGGGGAGGAGGGACUCGCUGACCGCCAGCUUGAGUGGCUCCAACAACCUCAUCCCUGCUCCCAACGACACCCUCCCCACCAUCACCGCCAAGUUCCGCAACCAGGGUCUCGACGUCGUCGACCUCGUCGCGCUCUCAGGAGCACACACCAUUGGCGACUCGCGCUGCGUGAGCUUCCGGCAGCGGCUCUACAGCCAGAACAACGACGGGCGCCCGGACCCGACGCUGAACCCGGCCUACGCGGCCAAGCUCCGCGGGCGGUGUCCCCGGUCCGGCGGCGACCAGAUCCUGUUCGCCCUCGACCCCGCCACCCAGUUCCGGUUCGACAACCAGUACUACAAGAACAUCCUCGCCAUGAACGGCCUGCUCAGCUCCGACGAGGUCCUGCUCACGCAGAGCCACGAGACCAUGGAGCUCGUCAAGAGCUACGCCGCCAGCAACGAGCUCUUCUUCGACCACUUCGCCAAGUCCAUGGUCAAGAUGGGCAACAUCUCGCCGCUCACCGGGCACAACGGCGAGAUCAGGAAGAACUGCAGGAGGGUCAACCACUUCUAA